GAUGAACGCUAGCGGCAGGCUUAAUACAUGCAAGUCGAGGGACAGCUCAGGUAGCAAUACUGGGUGGUAACCGGCAAACGGGUGCGGAACACGUACACAACCUUCCUUUAAGUGGGGGAUAGCCCAGAGAAAUUUGGAUUAAUACCCCGUAAUAUAGUUGAAUGGCAUCAUUUGAUUAUUAUAGCUACGGCGCUUAAUGAUGGGUGUGCGGCUGAUUAGAUAGUUGGCGGGGUAACGGCCCACCAAGUCUACGAUCAGUAGCUGAUGUGAGAGCAUGAUCAGCCACACGGGCACUGAGACACGGGCCCGACUCCUACGGGAGGCAGCAGUAAGGAAUAUUGGUCAAUGGACGCAAGUCUGAACCAGCCAUGCCGCGUGAAGGAUUAAGGUCCUCUGGAUUGUAAACUUCUUUUAUUUGGGACGAAAAAGGGCCUUUCUAGGUCAACUGACGGUACCAGAUGAAUAAGCACCGGCUAACUCCGUGCCAGCCGCCGCCGUAAGAC
rnacentral:rRNA from 1 species